AUUGAACGCUGGCGGCAGGCCUAACACAUGCAAGUCGAACGGCUCGGCAGACGGGUGAGUAAGGCCUAGGUAUCUGAAUGGUAGUGGGGGAGAAGGUCAGGUACCGGGCGCGAAUGCCACAAACUAUCACAAUAGCCUAGGUCGGAUUAGCUAGAUGGUGGGGUAAAGGCAUACAAGGGCGACGAUCCGUAACUGGUCUGAGAGGAUGAUCAGUCACCCUGGAACUGAGACACGGUCCAGAGUCCUACGGGAGGCAGCAGUGGGGAAUAUUGGACAAUGGGCGAAAGCCUGAUCCAGCCAUGCCGCGUGUGUGAAGAAGGUCUUCGGAUUGUAAAGCACUUUAAGUUGGGAGGCGUUACCAACAGAAUAAGCACCGGCUAACUUCGUGCCAGCAGCCGCGGUAAUAC
rnacentral:rRNA from 1 species